GGGUCGGUACCAAAGUGGUCAACUGGGUCUGGCUGUAGACCAGAUGGCUUUGCCUUCGGGGGUUCGAAUCCCUCCCGGCCCA
rnacentral:tRNA from 2 species